CAGUAGCCGCGGGAAUACGGAGGGUGCAAGCGUUAAUCGGAAUUACUGGGCGUAAAGCGCACGCAGGCGGUCUGACAAGUCAGAUGUGAAAUCCCCGGGCUUAACCUGGGAACUGCAUUUGAAACUGUCAGGCUGGAGUCUUGUAGAGGGGGGUGGAAUUCCAGGUGUAGCGGUGAAAUGCGUAGAGAUCUGGAGGAAUACCGGUGGCGAAGGCGGCCCCUGGACAAAGACUGACGCUCAGGUGCGAAAGCGUGGGGAGCAAACAGGAUUAGAUACCCCUGUAGUCCCUGUCUCUUAUACA
rnacentral:rRNA from 1 species